UUUUAUCCAAGUGGCUUACAUUUAGGGAUUACAUAAAGAGAGAUUCAAACAGACACAGGAAGUGCUUGUAAUACCAAGUUUCAGGUAUUGUUCAAAUAAGUACAAACUAGAAAGGAAACGAAUAAAGGAAUAAGGGAAGGAUUUUUUAAAAUCUCGUAUUUAUUCCAGUGUACUAGUGCCUAUAUUCAUUUAAAUCUUUAAGAAACAAUAAAAUAAGAAAGGAAAUUAUUUGCAAUUUAAAUGAGAAAUUUAAAUGAGAUGAAAAUAAAUAUGAUUAAUAAAGAAAGAAAUAGUGUAAAUUGGUGCACGUCAUGAAAACAUGUUGCCAUUAGUGGGCGCCCGUGCACAGUACGUGAUAUCACACAAGAAAGUAGUGCAGCUUUUCUGUGUGUGGAAGCAAGUUAAGUUUCUCUGCAUACUUUCCAUUGGCUCAGCACACUUCAUUACACACUGUUGCUUUAGGUGCAGAAAAAAAGCACAAUAAUUUGCUUUUUCCAUAUUAAGUACCAUUCUUUCAAAAGUUUUUUUUUUUUUUUUAGUUUUUUUUUUAAUUUGUUUUGCUGAAUAAAGUUGAACCAGAUCACUGUUUGAUCUCUUGCUCAUAUACAUAUGUGCCUUCUCACGUUCCCCCCUCCUUCCUCCCCCGUGUACUAUGUACACUACCCCUCCCUCUGGCCAACUCUAACUCUCCAUUCUCUCUUUUUCUCUUGCACAUGCAACCACAGGAGCGCACGGAUCACACCAACACCACAGAAUCAUGUCUGACUCAGAGACUGCAGCUCCUGCCGAGACCCCUGUCCCAGCACCCUGUGUGGCCAUCAAGGCAGAUCUAGACAAAUGUGUAAAGGAGAAUGGCGAGGAAGCGUGUAAGGAGCUAAUGGAGGCGUUUGCUGCCUGUGUGAAGAGCAAUGCUGAGGCAUCAUGAUGAGCUCAACAUGCAGGAAAACGUUUUACUGCACUGAGUCCUCCACCUUCCCAGCAUUCCCUGCAGCUCAUGGCACUGGACUAAAUGAUGGGGUUUGGCAGCAGAGACCAUAUUUGUGUUUCUUCCCUUCUCUACCCCCUGUGAAGCUUAAACAGAUUCCUCCAAGCACCAACCUCCCCUCCCCUCCCCGUUCGUGGCUGAUUGUAUUGAUCUGACCUGUAGACAGUUUGAGAGUUGAUGUAAAUGAUGUGUCUCAGAUGCUUUCAAAAAUGGAAUAAAGAUUUUAAAAAUGGUUCGAUAUUUCUAACUGACUUUGUUUGACAAUGUUUGUUUUCGUACUUAGGUAAACCUCUAAAAACAGCUUUCAUUAACUUUCUUAGCAGAUCCUGUCUUGACUUCCAAUGAGUCCCUGUGGUUUUAUUUAUAAAGAAGUCCAAAACUUUGAGAUGGAUGCAGUAAACUGGACUGUAGACAAGGAUUAUGUAGGCUUCUGUAAUGGGUUUAGGUGAACUAAAGUAGGAGAUUAAGCUUUCCAGUGUCACUAAUACUCUAAACUCCUCACUUUGACUCUUUAAGAGGCACACAAAUACACCCACCCAAAUCCCCAAAUGCACUUAUCUCAUCAGUCAAUCAAUCAGAUCUUAUGCUCAUUCAUGAGCUGAUCUAUAAGCAAAGCUGGAAGUGUGAAGACUUGUUCUAUAACCAAGACUAAAAAUCCCCAGGGGUUGUACUACGCUCAAACAUGCUGGUUUGGUGUAAAUUAAACAGUACAAAACAAGAAAUUCAAGCUAAUUAUCAAAGCAAAAGUCUUGUCACACCAAUUUUACCGCUUGCAUAAGCAGAGACAAUUUUGGGUGAUGUCUCCAUGAAUCACUGCUCAAAUGUGAUCAGAUCAAGCAACCAUCUCAACCAAUAUCAGAGCAGUAGGCUGGGAAAUAUUGGAUAAGGAUUGAGGUUUGUGAACCACUGGGGGUUCAUGAGUUGAUGAAAAGCUAGUCAUUAAAUAAAUCAUAAAAAUAUAAAAUUAUGACAUUUCAGAAUAAAGUAAAGAAUAUUUUAGAAUAGCUAAUUCGAAUUUUUUUAUGUGAAAAAUAAAUAAAACGAAUUACCUUUUUUUUUUUACAACCUAAAUGCGUGAUUUGUUACAAUUAUACUUACCCGACAUUACCACAUUUCCAGCCAACAUCCUUCUGCCUCCUCCAUGCUGAAGAGAGAUUUCGGUUGUCAUAAGACUUCAAGAAAAUAAAGGGAGGACGGUGUGCUCCUGCUUGAAGCUCUGCCAGACAGGUAAGAGUAGGGGAUAACUUUAGAAAACGUUUCAAAAUGCACCUAUAAAGGUCACUGAAUGUGUUUAACCUUGAAAACAUCACGUGAGGGACGAUAUGAAAAUGUUGAGAGUUGGAUAUCCAGGUGAAUCUGCAGGAAUCACAUCUGUCUGCUGAUCUCUGUCAAAAAAACACAAUUAGAAACCCUGAACUGUGUCAGCAGACGUGUAAUCUUGUAAUGACUGAACACAGCAUAGGUACUUUAACAGUUCAUGCCUCACAUGUAAAAUAUAGUAUAAUAUGACUCUAGAGCAACGCCUCCUGUUGUCUACAACUGCCAGAUACAGAUUGGAAUCAAAGAUACUCCCAGUACUUCGCUAUGCCUAAUGUUUUGGUGAGAUUAAGAAAUAAUACCCCAACAUAAAUUGUUAUUUAAUAGAUUGUUCAGUAACUUCUUGCUUGUAGAACACGCCCCAUGUGUUUGUCUCUGCCCCCUUGUGUUCAAACAUUACACUGCAGGGAUGGUGCUAGGUAAAAAGUGCAUUUAUACAUUUUCUUUUCUUUUCUGCUCUAGCUUGCUCCCUAAUCUAACUUUCUAAUAAACCUGACAGUGAAAAUUGUUGGAUCUCUGACGAAUUGUGUUCCUUUAAGUCACUUUGGUUACUGUUUUUUUCAAUCUUUACUUGUCUGAAACCUGACAAGUACACUAAUUCUCGGCCUUUGACUCAUUUUUCAAUUUCAUAAAACACUUUUUGCAAAACACAAUCCUCUGUAAUAUUUUUUUCACUUGCUUACAUUUUCAAAACUUUACAUCUUUUUUGGACACACAAAUGCAAGAA
ensembl:lncRNA